GACAGAGGAGGCGAGCGUUAUCCGGAGUUAUUGGGCGUAAAGGGUACGUAGGCGGCUGGUCAAGUCUGGGGUUAAAGACCACAGCUUAACUGUGGGGGGGCCUUGGAAACUGACCGGCUGGAGUGGGGCAGGGGUUGCGGGAAUUCCCGGUGUAGCGGUGAAAUGCGUAGAUAUCUGGAAGAACGCCUGAGGCGAAAGCGCGCAACUGGGCCCUGACUGACGCUGAGGUACGAAAGCUAGGGGAGCGAAUGGA
rnacentral:rRNA from 1 species